GGGCGGCUAGCCUAAUGGUAAGGCGUCUGAUUUCGGCUGGGUUUUACCAAAUGCUGCUCAGAAGACUUGCAGGUUAUCCGGCGUCGCUCA
rnacentral:tRNA from 1 species